rfam:Brassica napus, WGS project CCCW01000000 data, contig: 17798
AGCCACGUGGUGAGCACAAAGCGAACUAUUCUUUCGCCUUUUACUAAAGAAUACCGUGUGCUCUCUAUGCUUAAUGGCAUACGCCUAUUUUUGGAGGGUCCCACUAUCGUGGGCCC